GCUGGUCCGGCGGAAACUAACUCUAUGCGGCCAAGGUUGAAGCCGGCGAAUUCUCUUAUUUGUCCAUCUACGCUUGGAUUUCUCUUGAAGAAUUCCGCAGCUUCUGAAAAGAUCCGCAUCUCCUUCAUAUUUUCUAGAGUGUUGCCCUAGGCGUGUUUCAACUUUGUCAAAGGUCGCGGUCUUCAAUGGAGAGCUACGUACUCGUGCUAUGUUUUUACGCGUUGGAAAAUGCAGAAGUUGAGACUCGAGUUUCUUUUUCAACACGGCUUGCUCCUCUUCCAGAUCCUAGUUGAGCGUGUGGAAGUUUUUGCGGAUUUCCUUCUGAUUCUAGCAGAGGUGAUGUCCGCGAGAUCUGUCCUCCUCUGGAACGGCUAUGGCUGUAGAACGUGCAUACGGCAAUAACAGAGGAGAAGCGGAUUAAGGCACCGAAGCGCAGUUGAUUAUGCACAUACAAGACGAUAUCACCAUGAUCAUCCGAUCUUGCUGCGGCGAUUUGGUGUUAAAGACCAUGUUUACCGGGUCCUCGUUCCUGAUCUCUGCUAUAAACAAGAGGAAAUUACAGAUAGAAUCAGUCUUCCAUAUUCACGGUCCUCCACCAAAAAUCUUGCCACUUAUAACUGAAUUGACUUAUCAGAACUCAAAUUAAGCCACCUCUUGUACUUCUGGAUCUCAAGUGUUAUAUGUCUAAGUGGACGGAGCAUUUAGCUAAUGUCAAAAACAGGCGUUGAGGGGAUACUUCCAAGACAUUGAAUUGAGCAGAGAAUGGAGCAAAUGCCUCUUGAGAUCAUACGACGGCAUAAAGUAUCACCAAUUUAUUGCGGUCAUUGGUAGAGAACUCGUGUCUUCUCACGGGAAGGCGCACACUUUUCAUCUUUCCCAGUGCCAAGGCCCAGUGAGGCAAGUUAUGGGCCCCAAACAUCAACUUCCACGCCCAUCAGGAAGUGGGCUGAGAGAGAGGUAGGUGAUGGGCCUUUAUAUAUCUUUAUACUGGCCCGAUCCAUGUCUGACGAAAGAACUUCCUUGGCCCCAUAUAUACUAGACUAGAUGAAGUACCUAAUUGAUAUCAAAUUUCUGUGCUGCCAAAAUCACUCUUAUAAAAUAAUUUUGAUAAAUUUUAAAAUAAUUUAUUUUCUGUUUUUACUUCUUUUAUAGCAGAAAUCUAAAGUUUCUAUUUCUCUUUGCGGUAGAAAAAUAGAGUUUUUGUUAUAAAAAAAUACCUUUUACCAUAUAUUAACACACGCACAAAAAAUAAAAAUAAAAAAACCAACCUAGAAAACGGAAACAAUAGUAUUAUUGCUUGCUUUUUCCCUAUUUGUUUCUUCUUGGAAUCUAUUUUCAAAGGAAGGGAAGACAUCUCCCUCAAUUUAGUAGAUUUGUACUUAAUUGCAUAUUCACAUGCGAGAACUUACAGAUCAAGAUAGUUGAUUCUAACUUCUUGUCUUUGGCUAAGAUAGCUAAUGCCUAAACAUUUUUGUCAUCAGGAUGUUACGAGACAAGAAGGGCAAGAAGAUGUAAAAAUGCCUCAUUAAUCCUUCCAUUCUUAGAUCUCGACUUAAAUAGUAAAGCAAAGUUUGUUGUCAAAUUACAAGAAUGCCAUCUACAAAAUAUCUAACUAAUAUAGCAAACAAAACAAACAAAGUAUAUAGAAAAUGAAUUGAAAAAUACAAGAACUUAAUACUCCCCCUCAAGAUGGACUAUGAACAUCAAGCAUAACCAUCUUUGCUAACAAAGACUGCAAUUGAGAAAUUGGUAAUGGCUUGGUAAAAAGAUAGCUAGGUGAUGAACUGAUCGAAUAGGUAACAGCUUAAACAAACCCUCCUACAACUUAUCUCGAACGAAAUAAUAAUCCAAUUCAAUAUGCUUGGUGCGCUUAUAGAAAACUAGAUUAUAAGUUAUAUGAAUCGCAAUCUGAUUAUCACAAAAUAAGAGAGUAUUAGUUAUAGUAGAAAUCUGGAAAUCAGAUAAAAAUUGGUAUAACCAAACAAUUUCACUAACAGUAGAUGCAAGAGCCCUAUACUUAGCUUCAACAAAAGAUCGAGACAUUGUGGUAUGCUUCUUAGCCUUCCAAGAUAUUAAGGAAUCACCAAGAAACACACAAAACCUUGUAACAGACCUUCUAGUGUCCAAGCAAGAUCCCCAAAUUGCAUCAAAAAAUGCUCUAAGCUAUAGUGAAGAAGAAGCAGAAAAAAAAUAAGCCCUGACCAAGAAAAGCCUUAAGAUAUCAUAACAAAUGAUGGGUUGCAUCAAGAUGAGGCUUCCUAAGCUUAGAGACAUAUUGACUAAGCUUAUGAACAGCAAAAGUGAUAUCCGAUCGAGAAAUAGUUAAGUAAAGAAGCCUCCUAUAGGCAGACACAUCUUCAAGUAAAUCACCUUCAUAUCAGAACUCAACCUUACAUUGGGAACCAUUGGAACAGCAACAAGGUUUACUAGAUAAGAAGCAUGUGUCUUCAAUGAGCUAUAGGGAAUAGUGCCUUUGUGAGAAGAAAAUACCCUUAGAAAAUUGUCCAAUCUCAAGACCAAGAAAAUAUCUUAGGCGACCAAGAUCCUUAAGCUUGAAUCGACUAUGAAAGAAAGAUUUAAGAUAGGUUAUGGCUAUAACAUCUUAACAAUAUCUGAACCCGUGAUGAUUAUAUCAUCAACAUAGACGAGUAGGGCCACAAAGGAAGAACCAACACCUUUUGUAAACAAAGAAUAGUUAGACUUGGAUUGAUUGAAACCAUAUUCAACGAGAGCAAAUGAUAAUUUAGAAAACCACUAUCUAGAAGCCUGUUUGAGCCCAUAAAUGGACUUGUGAAGCCUGCACACCAAAUGCUCCCCCUUAGGUGGAGCACCAAUCUUAGGAGUAUAACCAAGAGGAAGAUCCAUAUAGACUUCCUCAAAAAGAUCCCCAUUGAGGAAGGCAUUAUUAACAUCUAGUUGAAUAAAAGGUCAUUUAUGAACAGCUGCCAAAGCUAACAAAACCUUGACAAUGACCAAUUUGGCAACGGGGGAAAAUUUAUCAAAAAAAUCCAACCCCUCUUGUUGUGUGUAUCCCUUUACCACUAGACGAUCUUUAUAUCUCUCAAUAGAGCCAUCUGAUUUAUACUUAAUCUUAUAUACCCAUUUGCACCCAAUAACAUGCUUAUCAUGAGGUAAUUGAGUAACUGUCCAAGUAUGAUUCAUAUGCAUAGCUUCUAACUCUAUUGUCAUAGCAUCCCUAUAAUGCUUAUAAGGCAGUGUUUGAUGAUAAAAUUGAGGCUCAGGAUUAGAAGAAAUAUUAAGAAGCAUAUGCUUAUGAGAAGAAGACAAAUUUGAGUAAGAAAUAAAGUGGUUAAGAGGAUACAAAGAUUUGGUAGAGAAUUGAGAACUCUACGAUAAUAGAUUGCAAUGGAAGUCUUGGAGAUAAAAAGGAGGCCUCGAGACCCUUGUAGAUCUGCGAGGAGGAAUAUGAGGACAAGGAGAGCCUGAGAUGAAACCAUCAACAUCAAGAGUGUUAAUCUCAACUGGGAAAGAAUAAGCAUGAUAGGAGGUGAUAUUUGGGUCAAUAACAAGUUGAUGUUGAGGCUGAGGGAUAACCAAAUCAGGAAAAUGAUCCACCAUAUCAUGAGAAUAGUCAAUAUUAUGAAAAGGAAAAACAUUAUCAUGAAAGAUAACAUCCUGGGAAAGAAAGAAUUGUUUAGUAGCAAUAUUAUACAGCCUAUAUCCUUUCAUUUCAGGAGAAUAUCCAAGAAAAACACAAGCAAUAGCUCUAUGAGAGAAUUUGGUUUUAUGAGAUAAUAAUGUAGAGGCAUAGCAAAGACAACCAAACACUCUAAAACAAUUGUAAUUCACAGGUAAUUGAUAAAGAAGCUGAUAAGGAGACUACUGAUUCAAUAGUGGUGUAGGAGUACAAUUGAUUAAGAAAAUGGCAGUGAGGACGCACUCAUCCCAAAACUGAAUAAGAACUCUAGAUUGAAACAACAGUGCCCUAACAACACUAAGGAGGUGUUGAUGCUUACGUUCCACUACAGAGUUCUGUUCAAGUCCCUUAACACAAGAAAAUUGAUGUAAGACUCCCUUAGAGACAAAAUAGUCUUGAAAUUUCAAUUCAGGUGCAUUGUCAGAUCUAAACUUUUUCACCUUAACGCUAAACUGAGUGUCCACCAUAUUAAAGAACCUGGGAAUUAUGUCUCUAGCUUCAAAUUUAUGUCUCAUUAAAAACACCCAAGUGAAUCGUGUGCAAUCAUCAACUAAAGUCAAGAAAUAUCUAUGACCAGCAUGUGUAGGAACAUGAUAUGGACCCCAAGUGUCACAAUGAAUAAGAUCAAAAGCAUGCUGAGAUAAGUGAUUAUGAGAAACAAAAGACAGCCUUAUUUGUUUAACUAAAGGACAUAUUGAACAAUGAGAAUCAACACUAUCAUUUCCAAACAACAACAAAUGUUUUAAUCUGUCCAAUUUUUCAAAAGAAAGAUGUCAAAGUCUAUUGUGCCAAGUAUUUCGACUUACAACCCGUGCCACAUUGACACUAUUAAAAGUGUUUGUCAAAGAUUCAGCAUCAAGCACAUAAAGGCCUUCAUGAAGCUUACCCCUGCUAAUCAUCUUUAAAAGCUGUACAUCCUGAACAAUACAUGAACCAGAAGAAAAACUGAGGCUCGUAACAUUCCUUCUUACUACAGCACUCACUGAUAGUAAAUUGAACUUGAAUUGUGGCACAAAUAACACAUUUUCUAGCACCAAAUGCUGAUUAAUCCUCACAUCCCCUAUAGAUUGAACAGAUAUAUGAGAAUGAUUAGGUAAAGUAACAUAUGUGUCACUAACAAGUCGUAAGCAAUGAAAAGAAGUCUUGUUAAAGCACACAUGACUAGUAGCUCAUGAGUCUAUUAUCCAAUACCUAUGGUUAUUUAGCAUUGGACUGACUAAUAUAGAAAAGCAACUACCUGAUGCUUGCUCUUGUGGAUCAUCAGGUUCUAUCUUCAUCUUUGAUAUCCCAAAAGAACUCAACAUACUCAACAAGUGUUGGUACUAAGUAGAAUUCAGUGUUUGUACAAAGUCUCCAACCUGACUGCUAGAACAGUUUUCAGCAUCCUGCCCUACUAUAGCAAUAUUUACUUGAUUAGGUGUAUUAUUAAUAUUGUUUUGAUUAGCAAUUUAUAGCACUUUUCUAUGGUAUGACCAUGAUAUCCACAAUGUGUGCAUAUUGGUAUCUGCUUCUUCUGACUCGAUUUAUUAUGAUUAGACUUGUUCACUUCAUACUUGACAUUAAAAGAAACAGAAUCAGUAUUCACACGUCCUACCACACUUCUUUGUUUCUCCUCUUGUGAUAUUAAGGCAAACACUUUGUUAAUUGGAGGAAUAGGAUCCAUUAAUAACAGUUGAGCUCUUACUAGCUUGAGAAAAAUAUUCAUUUAAUCCCAUCAAAAAGGACAUAAUAUACUCCGUCUGAUAAUGGUCUGCCAAAGCCCUAAUACCACCACAAGAACAGCUUGCACAACUACAAGAAGGCAUAAAAUUACCCAAGUUCAUCCCAUAUUUUCUUGAGCUUUGUAAAAUAAGCACUUACAGACAUGGAACCCUAAGAUAGGUUCACUAACUCACGCCUUAAUUGAAAAAUUCUUGGCCCGUCGUUUGCUGAUAUCACUCCUUGAGAUCAAUCCAAAUGUCUCAAGCAGAUUCGAAGUAAAUCACACUAGCCGAGAUCUCAUUCAAAACAGAGUUAAGGAUCCACGAGAUAAUCAUAUUAUUAUUUCUAACCCAAGCACUGAGUAAAGAAACAUCACCUGGUGUAGGUCGUGGAAUAGUGUCGUCUAUAAACCCUAACUUGUUUUUCAUCAAUAGAGCAAUUGUCAUUGCACAACUCCAUGAGACGUAGUUAUCCCCUGUCAAAGGUUGAGAAACCAAAAGAAGACCUGGACUGUCCGAGUGAUGCAAGAAAAAUGGACUCGAACCAUCGUCCACAACAAAGUUAAACCUCGACGAGGAAGAAGAUAAAUCUGGAUUUUCCAUUGCUAUACAACAAAAAAAUAGUCUGAGCAAAUGAUGUGUAAAGGUAAUCAAUCUUUGAACAAAGGAGAUUCGUAAGCGAUCAGAGAGAAAUCAAAAAGGAGUUACAAAUCUAUGAACAAUAGAGAUUCGUACUAGUUACCAGUCACCGGAGAAGAUUAACACGGUGCUAAAAUCAACAGAAAUGAUAAAAGAAACAAGCGGAAGGAAUACCUAGGGCUUGAUGUCGAAAACCGACAAAGAAGAAUCAUCGAAGCUUGAUGUCAAAGACCGACAGUGAAGAAGAUGAUGUCGGAGAUCGAAGAUCGACGAUUGAAGCUUGAUGUCGAAGACCGAUGGAGAAGAAGACGACAUCGGAGAUCGACGAUUGAAUGACCUAGGGUUUUGAAGAUUGCUCUAAUACCAUGUUACGAGACAAGAAGGGCAAAAAGAUGUAAAAAUGCCUCAUGAAUCCUUCCAUUCUUAGAUCUCGGCUUAAAUAGUAAAGCAAGGUCUGUUGUCAAAUUACAAGAAUGCCAUCUACAGAAUAUCUAACUAAUACAGCAAACAAAACAAACAAAAUACAAAGAAAAUGAAUUGAAAAAUACAAGAACUUAAUAAUAAUAUCCCCAACAAUGGAAACCAUCACUACUUAGCUAUAUAUCUUCUGGAAUAAGACAAGCAACUGAAGCAAAAAAUGCACCACCCUCAACUACCAUGGAGUUUUCUUUACCUGCAAUCGGAAGUUUGAAGCUCUGUUGUUGAGAACAACCAUUCGAAAUAUACUAACAUAUUGUAACUUGUUAGCUAUCUGAUGCAGCCAAUUAAGAAUUUGAUCAGGUUCAAAUCUCUAAAAAGUUCACAGAGGGAGAAAGCAUUGUCAGGACAAAAUGAAUAGUAUGUGCUUGUGUGCUCCUUUCAGCAACGUCAGCUGGUGGAAACAUGCUAGCAUACAGAAGCAUAUAGAGGUUACCAGUUUCUGUCCAGGAUUAGCUUAGCAUGAUCAGUUGAUCGCAAUAGAGGAGCUCUUUAAUUUUUUUUUGGCUAAGUAAAACAUAUAAUACUAUAAUAGUAGAGGAGUGCCUUUUUCUUGCUAGGUAAUAUCUAUUAUUUAGAGGAGCUUUUAGUUUAGCUAUAGUAGCAGUGGUGUGGUAGUGUAUACGUACUGUAUAGACGUUAUGGCUCUUUCAGUUUCAGGUUGUUAAGUCAUGUUCUUGCAGAGAACUAUUUUGAUCGCCCUCUCCUUACUCCUUUUAGUCAAAAGAAAAGGUAGCUAACAAGUUACAAAUCAUAUACUAACAUAUGAUUUGUAACUUGUUAGCUGUCUGAUGCAGCCAAUUAAGAAUUUGAUCAGGUUCAAACCUCUAAAAAUUUCACAAAGGGAGAAAGCAAUGUCAGGACAAAAUGAAUAGUAUGUGCUUGUGUGCUCCUUUCAGCAAUGUCAGCUGGUGGAAACAUGCUAGCAUACAGAAGCAUAUAGAGGUUACCAGUUUCUGUCCAGGCUCAGCUUAGCAUGAUCAGUUGAUCUCAAUAGAGGAGCUCUUUUUUUUUUUUUUUUUUGCUAAGUAAAACAUAUAAUAAUAUAAUAGUAGAGGAGUGCCUUUUCUUGCUAGGUAAUAUCUAUUAUUUAGAGGAGCUUUUAGUUUAGUUAGUAGUAGCGGUGUGGUAGUGUAUAUAUAGACGUUAUGGCUCUUUCAGUUUCAGGUUGUUAAGUCAUGUUCUUGCAGAGAACUAUUUUGAUCGCCCUCUUCUUACUCCUUUUAGUUAAAAGAAAAGGUAGUGCAUUGGUAAUUUAAUUUGAAACUUUUACGUACCUAGGGUUGGUCCUUUAGCGAACCAAAUAAAUUAACCUACGCAAAAAGUUGAAUGGGGGGUGAAGAGAAUUAAUGUGAACAGGCAGUACAAAGGUAAAUGAUAAGAACAUUAACCAGCAUUUUUCUUUGCUCGAUCAUGUAGUUAUAAGACGGAGCAUAUAAAUAUAGAGUUAAAUAUGUUAGUUAAUUAAUGACAGUUGCAGGAGAGACGUGGUGAUGGAGCAAGAAAAAAAAUCAAUUAAAAAAUUGAAGUUUCAUGUCAAUGAAGAAAUACUGAUAGAAAACAUUGUAGGUAUUAGUGCAUGCUUUGGAGUGAGAGGAGUGGGUGAUGACAGAAGAAUAGAGAGCACAAAGAGUGAGGUGCAAUUGAACUCCAUAUAUAUGCACCCCAUCAUCUGUGCCCUCUAUCUUCUGUCAACGCCAUCACCAAUGCCUCCUCCUCUGAUAGAGAUAUAAACAUGAGAGAGAGAGAGAGAGAGAGAGAGAGAGAGAGAGGGAGAGAGUUGAAUUUGGAUGACCAAAAAACUACCCAGGCCGCCUCUCUUCACAGGAAAUCCUCCGUCAACACGCCAUCAUCAAUUCAACGCCUGCUCUCUUCCUGUACUAGACUAGAUAUAAAGGAGGGAUAGGAGUAGACGGAAAGAUAGCUGAAUUCGGAUGAUCUAAGAUAUGCUCAAACCCCUACCUAUUUAUAGGAAAAUUUCAUUAGCAAUAGCACGUAUUUUAGUCGCAAAGUAAUAUUCUUUCAAACCCCUACCUAUUUAUAGGAAAAUUUCAUUAGCAAUCGCAUGUAUUUUAGUCGCAAAGUAAUAUUCUUUCCAAAUUUUUGUACAAAAGUUAGUUAUUAAUAAAAUUAAAAAAUAUAUCUACUAAAACAAUAAUAAGUGAUACUUGAAAAAUAAUCAUCUCAUAGAAUUUUCAUUUAAAAAUACUAUCAGAAAUAAUAUGUACAAUUUAAUGCUUAGUAUUACUUUCUUGAAUAUGUUUUUUUUUUCACUCAGAAGAAAUAUAAUUAUAUUUUUUAAUAAAUACGAUAAAUCAAACACAUGCAAUGCCUUUGCUACUAAGAUAGAAAAUAACAUUUUAUUAAAUUUGUUUUAUGACUUUUAUUUUUGAAAUUUUGAAAAAAUAUAACAUAUAUAUAUAUACAUUUCAACUUAUAACAACCAAAUAUUAAUGCUGUUUGAUUAAAAGAAAUUUGAGGGUUAAGUAGUUUACAUAAAUAAUUUAUACCAUAUGAUUGACUAGGUGAGGGGCGGAUUCAAAAAUCUAUGAUGGGAAGGUUGAAAUUUAAAAAGAAAAUAAUGUAAUAAAAUUUUUAUAUAAUUAAUGAUAGAAUUUGGGUUUAAAAUUAAUAAAAAAAAGUUAAUUUUAAAAUGUUAUUAUUUGGAUUUAUUUGAAAUUAAUGAUAGGAUUUGGGUGAGUUUGGUUUUGGGCUUACAAUUGUUUACUUAUAAAUAGGUUAUGACAAAAAAUAGAGAAUUGCACAUCAUCAAUUUUGGGAUAAGCUAUAAUUUUUUUUUUAGGUGUGCUGUUAUUAAAUUUUCUUUUUACACUAAAAAAAUUAAAUAUGAUAGUGAACAGUCAAAUACAGCUCAUUAGUAGAUCUGCCCCUUAGACCAGGAAGCUUAACGGAAGAGAAAAUUAAUUAUGAAGCUAAGGCUCCACGUAGAAGUGAGAUGGUUAAAAAAAACUAACCGAGACGAAUGUGUCCCCAGACUUCUGAUUAGUUUCAUUUGAGGUAUAUAUUUUGGAAAUAACGAAAAUGCCUCAAAAUGUUCUAAUACCAACGUACGUACGUAGAUGCUUCCUUAAAUUAUAGAAUAGCGAUUGAAUCUUACAAAUCCAGCUGUUUAAUUUUAUGUGGGAGAGCUAAUUAAUAUCUAGUAAUCUCUGCAGGCACUGCUAGACUUGUGGAGAUGAGUUAAUUUAUGUAUGCAUAUAUGAAAGCAUAAAUUGAACGCAAAAAGUAGAUCAAUCGCUGGUUUUGUUUACUUUUCCAAAUCAUGUUGGACGAUGUAGAACUCUUUAUCAUGGUUGAGUUGCGAAUACGAACCCAUAAGAUAGUUCGUGUGGUGCAGUGGGGAAUCACUAAAAUUUCUCUUUCCGGCCAUGCCCAAAGGACUGCAUGCAAGAUGUGUACGUGUAACAAGCAAGACCGCACACCACCAGCAAAAUCAUUUGGUGCAUCAUUCCGGAAAUGUCUUGCUACUUGCAUCCCCUAAUUGUGUGCUGCUGACAUUUUGUUUAUCUCAUUAAUAAUUCUCUGCGUAAUUAAGAAAGCUGGUUCUGGAGAUUGGUUAGCAUCAUCCUUUCUUUAUAGUGUGGUUGGAUGAUUAAGUUGCCUUGGAACCCUUUUCAAUCUACUACUUGCUGCCCUAGUAUGUGUUUGAAUAUUAAUUAAUUAAUUUACUUCAUGCCAUUUUAUUUCUGUCAAGAAUUUUCUUUCUGGAGUAUGUUGGCAUCAUCCUUUCUUUAUAAGUUGACUGAAUAUAUGACUUGCUUUGGAACCCAUUCUUAGAUACUUGGUGUCCCUAAUAUAAACAAUAUCAUCUGUUUUUUU